rnacentral:rRNA from 1 species
AGCAGCCGCGGUAAUUCCAGCUCCAAUAGCGUAUAUUAAAGUUGUUGCAGUUAAAAAGCUCGUAGUUGAAUUUCGGGAUCAAUUUAUCGGUCGUGCCUAUGGUAUGAACUGGUACAAUUGGUUUCUCCCUUCUGACGAAGCAUGAUGUCAUUAAUUUGGUGUCGUGGGGAAUCAGGACUGUUACUUUGAAAAAAUUAGAGUGUUUAAAGCAAGCAUUAGCUUGAAUACAUUAGCAUGGAAUAAUGAAAUAGGACGUUUGAUCCUAUUUCGUUGGUCUCUAGGAUCGACGUAAUGAUUAAUAGGGAUAGUUGGGGGCAUUAGUAUUCAAUUGUCAGAGGUGAAAUUCUUGGAUUUAUUGAAGACUAACUACUGCGAAGGCAUUUGCCAAGGAUGUUUUCAUUAAUCAAGAACGAAAGUUAGGGGAUCGAAGACGAUCAGAUACCGUCGUAGUCUUAACCAUAAACUAUGCCGACUAGGGAUCGGAUGAUGUUAAUUUUUUAAUGACUCA